rnacentral:tRNA from 2 species
AUGAUUAAAAAGAAUAAAUUCUUAUAAAUAGAUUUACAGUCUAUCGCCUAAACUUCAGCCAUUUAAU